rnacentral:rRNA from 1 species
GUAGGGGCAAGCGUUGUCCGGAUUUAUUGGGCGUAAAGCGCGUGUAGGCGGCCAGGCAGGUCCGUUGUGAAAACUAGAGGCUCAACCUCUAGACGUCGAUGGAAACCGCUUGGCUAGAGUCCGGAAGAGGAGAGUGGAAUUCCUGGUGUAGCGGUGAAAUGCGCAGAUAUCAGGAAGAACACCGAUGGCGAAGGCAGCUCUCUGGGACGGUACUGACGCUGAGACGCGAAAGCGUGGGGAGCGAACAGGAUUAGAUACCCUGGUAGUCCACGCCGUAAACGAUGGGUGCUAGGUGGUGGGAGGUGUCGACUCCUCCCGUGCCGCAGCUAACGCAUUAAGCACCCCGCCUGGGGAGUACGGCCGCAAGGCUA